AGUGAACGCUGGCGGUAGGCCUAACACAUGCAAGUCGAACGGCAGCACAGUAAGAGCUUGCUCUUACGGGUGGCGAGUGGCGGACGGGUGAGGAAUACAUCGGAAUCUACUUUUUCGUGGGGGAUAACGUAGGGAAACUUACGCUAAUACCGCAUACGACCUACGGGUGAAAGCAGGGGAUCUUCGGACCUUGCGCGAUUGAAUGAGCCGAUGUCGGAUUAGCUAGUUGGCGGGGUAAAGGCCCACCAAGGCGACGAUCCGUAGCUGGUCUGAGAGGAUGAUCAGCCACACUGGAACUGAGACACGGUCCAGACUCCUACGGGAGGCAGCAGUGGGGAAUAUUGGACAAUGGGCGCAAGUCUGAUCCAGCCAUACCGCGUGGGUGAAGAAGGCCUUCGGGUGGUAAAGCCCUUUUGUUGGGAAAGAAAAGCAGCAGGUUAAUACCCCGCUGUUCUGACGGUACCCAAAGAAUAAGCACCGGCUAACUUCGUG
rnacentral:rRNA from 1 species